AGAUGAAUGGAUGGUUGGACGCUUCAAGGCCGAGAGCAAUCUCACGCAGCUGAGCCGCAGUGAACUCACUCAAGCUCCCGAAACAGACAUAAACCACCGAGCCUGGCACCUUGCUGUCUAGCCAUUUCAAACAGGCGUCACAGUCGAUCGAAGCCUUGUUUCCCCUACUUGACAUCUCAACCUCAUUCUCGUUGCACAGAGACACCGGUCCAAUGUGCCACGCUCUUCGACCGACCUCCUUUCG
rnacentral:misc_RNA from 1 species